UUGGCGAACGGGUGAGUAACGCGUGAGUAACCUGCCCUAGAGUGGGGGACAACAGUUGGAAACGACUGCUAAUACCGCAUAAGCCCACGGUGCCGCAUGACACUGAGGGAAAAGGAUUUAUUCGCUUUAGGAUGGACUCGCGUCCAAUUAGCUAGUUGGUGAGGUAACGGCCCACCAAGGCGACGAUUGGUAGCCGGACUGAGAGGUUGAACGGCCACAUUGGGACUGAGACACGGCCCAG
rnacentral:rRNA from 1 species